GGGAAGGGUCCCUUUUUCCCCUCUGCUUUUCCUGCAGUGACGCAAUGUGAUCCAUCGGCAAGGAGGGACACCAAUGGAAGGUGUCUGAUAAGGUGGCGGGCAGAACUCGGGCAGCUGGCAGAGACCACACACAUGGAGCCCUUUUGAUCUUGACCAGAUGAAGUUUUGCUAACUGCAUCCAGAGGCCUCAUCAAAAGUAAUGCAAAGAUAGCAACUGACUAUCCAAAGGAGAAGGGAUGGAUUUUUCAGGUGCUCACUAUAACAAGCUUUUGGAGACUCUGUCUUUGGGGGAGAAGUGGAAAACAUACUGAGAGACUAGAGACUCCUCUGGUCCAGCUCAUCUUUCAUCUCUGGUCAGCUUCGGUGAUUUCAUUAUACCCACAUUCCCCCUGAGACUUGGCAACUAUCCUAGCAUACUUCAUCUCCUUUCAUCUUAUCACAUAUUUCCAUUUGCAUUUUUCUGGAAAAUGUCCACCGUUUGUGUUUGCAUAAAGUCUGCUGCACAGUUACCAUGACAUCUGAAAGGAUUUCUAUAAUUAAUUAUUCACAGUGUAUUGUUAUUAUGUUAUUUCAACAUUUGCAUAGGGAAAUGGGCUGCAAGAUGAAUGGGAG
rnacentral:lncRNA from 1 species